rnacentral:rRNA from 1 species
CCCUUAGACGUUCUGGGCCGCACGCGCGCUACACUGACCAGUGCAACAAGCAUCCGUCCUUGGCCGACAGGCCCGGGCAAUCUUUGAACGCUGGUCGUGAUGGGGAUAGACUUUUGCAAUUUUUGGUCUUUAACGAGGAAUUCCUAGUAAACGCAAGUCAUCAACUUGCAUUGAUUACGUCCCUGCCCUUUGUACACACCGCCCGUCGCACCUACCGAUUGAAUGGUCCGGUGAAGCCUCCGGAUUGGCGCGCACCUCGGUGCCGCCGAGAAGUUGGCUAAACCUUACCAUUUAGAGGAAGGUGAAGUCGUAACA